rnacentral:lncRNA from 1 species
AGCCACACUCCAAUUAGACUAAUUGGCAUACCACUUACCUCCAAUCGCUGGCCCUGAUUAACUAAUUAGAGCGUUAUCAACUCCUCUCAAACAAGCAACAAUUAAGGACAUUUCACUCACUGAUUUCUCUUUGUAAACUGCAGCGUAUGUAAGAUGACUAUUAUGUGGUCUCUGGUGAGCUGAUCUCUUGACGGCAAAUGAGGAUGUCCGUAUUAAAAAGUCACCCCUGUACUACAGAGAAAUCUACAAUGAUGAUUUCCUAUCUUCAUUUUGUAUAAUGGGGUAGAUCGAAGACACACGACCCCGCCUACCUUUACAAAAAGGCUCCAACACAAUUAUAGCAUGCAUGUUUGACGCUCAUAGAUCAGGUAGUACCUUGGGGCUCUGUCUAACAUGACACAGGGCUAUACUUACAGUUCAGGUUACUUUUCUUCACCAACCUGACUGAGGCAUGUGAGGCACUUCCUCUCCCCUCAGAGCAGAGGCGGGAGGUUCCUGUUCAUCAGGGCCACCACACCACGGCCCCUGGCCAAGGUCACCUGUCAUACCACCACUUCCGGGCUCAACCACACGGCCCUGGAGCUGUCUGCUGCAUGGGGGACAUGCUAUACCGUAGAAGCCAUGCUAUACCAAAUGUGGUAUGCAGUGCACUCCUCCCUCAUCACGGCUCUCUAGUGUUCCCUCUCCCAGUCAGAACAACCCAGACGGGCUCUACUCCUCUUAUCAGAUGGAGCCAGGCAGGCAGGACAGGACGGGGCCAGUGUGGAUCCAGCUGCUCCCAGGAGCAGGGCGCAGUCCCACUUAAUAGGUCUUCCCGGCAUCCCAGGCCUCGCCCCACUGGCAUCCCAGUCACAGCCAGGCAGGCUACUCCGUGGGUGGCACGCCUUGGAAACAGGCGGCAGAGACAGAGGAGGUGGGUACGGGGGAGACUGGUAAAGACAACCCAGUCCGCCUGGUGUUCCAGAGAACUUUGCCGUUAGACCAAUUGCUUCCCGAGGACCAGUAAAAAGCAAUGGCUCCGACAUGGAGUCCCAUGACGCAUCAUGCUGAAUCUGAUCAGAACAUAUUGAGAGUUCAAAUGACACUUGCUUGAAUAUGCAGCUUGAGCUACAUCGAAAUGUUGUCAACGUUGAGCGAGUUUCUGUUUUCAUAUUGGUGGUGCUACCUGCUUAGAAGGCCGGUCAGGGUCUUGGUGUUCUAAAUCAUCCUAAUUGAUGGGUGUCGGAUGUGUUAGUAUUAUCAUAGGUGCUCUGAGAUUUGUCUCCAAAUAAAUAAAGCUUUAAUUUAUAAGCAUGGACGUAUAUUCAACUGCCUGCCUUGAGCAGAGUGUAAACAGCUUUUUAUGUUCCGUCUCUUCAUGUUCCUGCAUGUUCCCACCCUCCACCCCUUCCUCUCUUCAUGUUCCUGCAUGUUCCCACCCUCCACCC